rnacentral:sRNA from 1 species
GCUGCACCAUGACCCUGGAGGCUAUCCGCUACACGCGGGGCUCCCUGCAGAUCCUAGACCAGCUGCUGCUGCCCCAGCAGAGCCGCUACGAGGCGGUGGGCUCGGUGCGCCAGGCCUGGGAGGCCAUCCGCGCCAUGAAGGUGCGGGGCGCCCCGGCCAUAGCCCUGGUGGGCUGUCUCAGCCUCGCCGUGGAGCUGCAGGCGGGCGCGGGGGGACCGGGACUCGCCGCGCUCGUGGCCUUCGUGCGCGACAAGCUGAGCUUCCUCGUCACCGCCCGGCCCACCGCUGUCAACAUGGCCCGCGCCGCCCGCGACCUGGCUGAUGUUGCAGCCCAGGAGGCGGAACAGGAGGGCGCUACGGAAGAGGCGGUCCGGGAGAGACGUGAAAUGGAGCUAUGCGAGCAUUGGGAAGAGCAUACCAGGCAGAGGGAACUGCCACUGCGAGGGCCCCUGGGUGGGACUGUGCUCGGUAAGACUUUGGCAAUCCACGUCCAGACUAGGAGCCUGCACCCCUGACCAAUGGACCACCCUGUCUGUUUGCCUCUCCCCUGGGCCUUCUCCUGGUGCGUGGGGCCCCGGCAGGUGUGAUCCGCUCACUGCACA